CUCACUUUUUAAGCUCCGAGACUUGCCGAAGAGACGAAUUUUAUUGAGAGACCCUAGUAAAAUUAUCCCGCAUUUCUAAGUCAAAGAGCGAGUGGUCCUCCUGAAUACCCGUGUCACAGAU
rnacentral:misc_RNA from 1 species